CAUGGAACAAUUUGGUUAAAAGAAGACUGAAAAAAGUUCAAUAUUUACAUUUGGAAGAAUCUGAUGAAUCUCGGUAUUUUCAAUUUCGUGAUUCAUCUUACAACCAUAUCUACACGAAUGACCCGAGCUUACUUGAGAAGGUGAAUGUUUCUAAACUGUUACCAAAUCUUAAGUUUUUUACUACAAAUUAUUACGAUGCCCACCAUUGUAUGUGCAAGGCAACGAUCAAUGUUUUAUCGACUUCGAACACGUUGAUCGGAUUAAAAGAUCGAUCUCCAUGUUACGGAAUUGGUGCCCGCACUUGCACUCGCGGUGUUCACAUUGAUGAAAUAGUGCAACAUUGUGGUAAUUUAGAGUAUUUAUCGUCAGGAUCGGAAUCUUUUAUUCGGAGUUUUUUCUUCUCAUUUGGAGACAAUUUGAAACACUUUGAAGCUCGAGUAGAUCUCUCUAAAUUUU